AUUUUUCAAUAGGUUCUUUAUUGAUUCGCUCAAAUGAUAUUCGCUAGAUUCCUCAUCAUCUUGUGCUGUG
rnacentral:antisense_RNA from 1 species